rnacentral:lncRNA from 1 species
GGGCACAAACCAAAGUAUGAGUCCAUGCACAUAAGGUACCAUGGUGAUCUUAGGUCAAAGGAUCACAUGCACCACUCCUACUGAAGAACCAUCUGUUGACAUUCUGUAAGGCUCCAUUAGAUGUUCUUUCUGCAGGUCUAUUCAAUGAACUCAUUCUCUAAUGAGCACCUACAUCCUUGUAUUAGUGUCACGACACAAGUGGUUAU